GACGAACGCUGGCGGCGUGCUUAACACAUGCAAGUCGAACGGUAAGGCCCUUCGGGGUACACGAGUGGCGAACGGGUGAGUAACACGUGGGUGAUAUGCCCUGCACUUCGGGAUAAGCCUGGGAAACUGGGUCUAAUACCGGAUAGGACUCCUGGCUUCAUGGUUGGGGGUGGAAAGCUUUUGCGGUGUGGGAUGGGCCCGCGGCCUAUCAGCUUGUUGGUGGGGUAAUGGCCUACCAAGGCGCCGACGGGUAGCCGGCCUGAGAGGGUGACCGUUCACACUGGGACUGAGAUACGGCCCAGACUCCUACGGGAGGCAGCAGUGGGGAAUAUUGCACAAUGGGCGCAAGCCUGAUGCAGCGACGCCGCGUGAGGGAUGACGGCCUUCGGGUUGUAAACCUCUUUCAGCUAUGACGAAGCGCAAGUGACGGUAGUAGCAGAAGAAGGACCGGCCAACUACGUGCCAGCAGCCGCCGUAA
rnacentral:rRNA from 1 species